GCCAUGGGUCCAAACAGAAGUCUCCAUCACCACCACCACCUAGCAAGGCACCAACUAUACCUCCAUCUCCAUCUCCAUCACCACCACCACCUAGCAAGGCACCAACUAUACCUCCAUCUCCAUCGCCACCACCACCUAGCAAAGGACCAACUAUACCUCCAUCUCCAUCACCACCACCUGCACCACCUAGCAAGGGACCAACUAUACCUCCAUCUCCAUCACCAACACCUAGUAAGGGGCCAACUAUACCUCAAUCUCCACCCCCACCUGCAGAAAACAAUGGCAGGAAUUCAACCAUAUAUAAUGUGUUGGAUUUUGGUGCUAAAGGAGAUGGAAGUACUGAUGACACAAAGGUGAACAUUUCUGUUUCUUUCUUAUUCUCCUUAAAUUGCUGGCCUAAUGUCUUUUCAAGAAUCAACAGGUAGAAUGAUAAUGUGGCAACAUUUUCAUUAUCAAGCAACUACUUAUCGCAUAGAAUUCGUGUCCAAACUUAGCUGAUGAUUUCUCAGAUAAAAGAUACUCACAAAUGAGAAACGCUGUUUUGAAUUCCAUUUAAUGCUAUUGUAGUAGCAACAUGUUUGCUCAUACAGCUACUUAGCAAGUGGCUAGUCCUAGAGUAAAGAGAGCCUCUCAUUGUUCAUGGAAUAAAUGAUUCAGAUGUUCUUUUUAGCAAACGGUGGGUAGUUUAGUCAAUUUGUAUAAGCACAUACUAAAAAGGGGAAAACUCUUGGUCUAUAGAACAACAUAUUUAUAAUAAGAAUAUUGAGAAAAUGACAAAAAUAUUCUUGAGAAACAAUCAGGGGUGCCCACUUGACAAUGAUGAUUCUAGUUAUACAACUGUUGGUCAGGUUUCCAUCUCUAACCGUUAUAAAGUUAUAUCUACAAACCACCACCACAUACCAUAUGAGGUUAUUUUGACCCUUCUGGGUAGUAGAAAAAAUCCACUAAUAAUAAAACACAAAAGGAUAAAGAAACAUACCUAUUAUAAUUUCUUCUUUGUUUUAAGUACAUAUGUUUACUUUUGGUUC
rnacentral:lncRNA from 1 species